GAGAAAUUAUUAGGUUUAAAACAAGCUCAGGUUUAGAUGGUGCAAGGGUUGGUGGAGAACACUACGGCAUUGCCUGGGGUGAAAGAGAUGCGGAGGGAAAUGAAAAAUAUUUCCACAAAGUUGGCGAGAUUUCAAAAAGCGCUGGCAUCAGCUCUAGCUCUGCAAGGGAGGGCUGUUUCAACGGAACAAUAAGACCUACAACUGUCACUUGGCGUGUGGAUAAUUACCAAGAUAUAAUAGGACAUGUGCCGACACCAGAUGACAUCCGCAUACGAUUUCGAGAAUGCAGUGGCUAUGCUCAUACAGCCGAGAACACACCCUGUUGUGGAAAAUUCAGCAUGCUUGACAACAACUGUGAACACACAGCCACCUAUAUCCGCUAUGGGCAGCAGGGAAGAAUCUCUUGCCAAGCCGCAGCCAUCAAGCACCCACUCACCGCCUUGCCUGCACAGUGCGCAAACCGGAG